rnacentral:rRNA from 1 species
UACGAAGGGGGCUAGCGUUGCUCGGAAUUACUGGGCGUAAAGCGCACGUAGGCGGAUUGUUAAGUCGGGGGUGAAAUCCUGGAGCUCAACUCCAGAACUGCCUUCGAUACUGGCGAUCUCGAGUCCGGGAGAGGUGAGUGGAACUGCGAGUGUAGAGGUGAAAUUCGUAGAUAUUCGCAAGAACACCAGUGGCGAAGGCGGCUCACUGGCCCGGUACUGACGCUGAGGUGCGAAAGCGUGGGGGAGCAAACAGG